rnacentral:rRNA from 1 species
UACAGAGGUCUCAAGCGUUGUUCGGAUUCACUGGGCGUAAAGGGGUGCGUAGGCGGUCGGGUAAGUCUGACGUGAAAUCUUCAAGCUCAACUUGGAAACUGCGUCCGAUACUAUUCGGCUAGAGGAAUGGAGGGGAGACUGGAAUACUUGGUGUAGCAGUGAAAUGCGUAGAUAUCAAGUGGAACACCAGUGGCGAAGGCGAGUCUCUGGACAUUUCCUGACGCUGAGGCACGAAAGCCAGGGGAGCAAACGGG